GAUGAACGCUAGCGGCAGGCUUAAUACAUGCAAGUCGAGGGGCAGCAGGGUGGUAGCAAUACCACUGCUGGCGACCGGCAAACGGGUGCGGAACACGUACGCAAUCUACCCAGAACUGGGGCAUAGCCCUCCGAAAGGAGGAUUAAUACCCCGUACUCUUUGGAGGUGGCAUCACCUCCUUAGAAAAGCUCCGGCGGUUUUGGAUGAGCGUGCGGCUGAUUAGGUAGUUGGCGGGGUAACGGCCCACCAAGCCUGCGAUCAGUAACUGGUGUGAGAGCACGACCAGUCACACGGGCACUGGGACACGGGCCCGACUCUUACGGGAGGCAGCAGUAAGGAAUAUUGGUCAAUGGCCGCAAGGCUGAACCAGCCAUGCCGCGUGAAGGAUGAAGGUCCUCUGGAUUGUAAACUUCUUUUACAGGGGAAGAAACCGCUUUUUUCCAAGAGCGUUGACGGUACCCUGGGAAUAAGCACCGGCUAACUCCGUGCCAGCCGCCGCCGUAAUAC
rnacentral:rRNA from 1 species